GACGAACGCUGGCGGCGUGCUUAACACAUGCAAGUCGAACGAAGUGGCGAACGGGUGAGUAACGCGUAAUCCACCUGCCCUUCAGAGGGGUACAACAGUUGGAAACGACUGCUAAUACCGCAUAAUGAAGGAGGGGAGUGCGUUUGAUUUGCAGGUUGGAGGGUGAACGGCCCACCAAGGGGAGGAUCAGUAGCCGGGUUUGGAGGAGUGACGGCCAAAACUGGACUGAUACAAGGGCCCGAAUCCUUAGGGAGGCAGCAGUGGGGAAACUUUCGAAAUGGACGGAAGUCCGACGGCGCAACGCCGCGGGAGUGAUGAAGGGCUUUGGGUUUUAAAGCUCUGUUAAGCUGGACGCGGUACCGGCAUAGAAAGCCACGGCUAACUACGUGCCAGCCGCCGCGGUAAUUC
rnacentral:rRNA from 1 species